rnacentral:tRNA from 2 species
GCCCGCCUAGCUCAAUCGGAUAGAGCGUCAGACUCUUACCACUAGGCGGUAUCUGAAGGCUGCGAGUUCGACCCUCGCGGUGGGCU